CCAGUUGGGUGAUAAAUGA
rnacentral:miRNA from 1 species